UUCACAAGUGUCACCAUGUCUUGUUUACAUUUGGCGGAGGAGGUCUGACACCCGCUCACACAUCGCUCCAGACCUCCGUGUUCACUUCUUAAGCGUUUAACAGCGCAUGUGAGGAAGCUUCAAGGACCAACAACACAUCUCAGUAUGACUAGUUCAGAGUCAACUACAGUACACAGACACUCCAGGCUCCUAUAUGAUGCCAUUAAAGGCAACUGGUUAAACAUUGCUGACCUGUGGGAGAUGACGCAGGCUAAAAAGAGACACUUUCUACCUUAAUGCUGUAUUUACGAGUUACACGAGGAGGAGCCUCGGCUGUAAGUACUU